GACGAGGUCCACAAACGUUAUUCGGAAUUACUGGGCUUAAAGCGUGCGUAGGCGGCUUAGCAAGUCGGGUGUGAAAGCCCUCGGCUCAACCGAGGAAUUGCGCCCGAAACUGCUGAGCUUGAGUGAGACAGAGGUGAGCGGAACUGAUGGUGGAGCGGUGAAAUGCGUUGAUAUCAUCAGGAACACCGGUGGCGAAGGCGGCUCACUGGG
rnacentral:rRNA from 1 species